GCAAGUCGAACGGAAACGAUGGGAGCUUGCUCCCAGGCGUCGAGUGGCGGACGGGUGAGGAAUGCAUAGGAAUCUGCCCAGUAGCGGGGGACAACUCGAGGAAACUCGAGCUAAUACCGCAUACGCCCUACGGGGGAAAGUGGAGGAUCUUCGGACUUCACACUAUUGGAUGAGCCUAUGUCCGAUUAGCUUGUUGGUGGGGUAAUGGCCUACCAAGGCGACGAUCGGUAGCUGGUCUGAGAGGACGAUC
rnacentral:rRNA from 1 species